rnacentral:rRNA from 1 species
CGUAUCUCUGGUGUUCCGGUUGUCACGCCAGUGGCAUUGCCGGGUAGCUAAAUAUGGUCAGGAUAACCGCUGAAAGCAUCUAAGCGGGAAACCUGCCUCAAGAUGAGAUCUCCCGGGCCUUCGGGCCCCUAAAGGACCGUAGAAGACUACUACGUUGAUAGGUUGGGUGUGUAAGCGCUGUGAGGCGU